rnacentral:rRNA from 1 species
CACGUAGGGCGCAAGCGUUGUCCGGAAUUAUUGGGCGUAAAGAGCUCGUAGGCGGUUUGUCGCGUCUGCUGUGAAAACUCGGGGCUUAACUCCGGGCCUGCAGUGGGUACGGGCAGACUAGAGUGCGGUAGGGGAGACUGGAAUUCCUGGUGUAGCGGUGAAAUGCGCAGAUAUCAGGAGGAACACCGGUGGCGAAGGCGGUUCUCUGGGCCUUACCUGACGCUGAGGAGCGAAAGCGUGGGGAGCAAACAGG